AUAUGAGUGUUGAUAAUGAUAAUGCGAUAACGAUAAUGAUAGAAUUUUGACCAGAUUCACUAGAAUCGUUGACCGCUUUAGGCUGCUCUUCGUACUGAUCAAAGCAGAAAUUUUUUCUAGCGCGUGGCAUGGUCUUCACAGUUUCAUAGAGUAAUAACCUAUAGAUAGACACCAUUAGCUCCGCCCGAACCUCUGCUGAGAGCAUAGAGUAAGAAUCUAUAUAGAGACACCAUUUGGUCUGCCGCUCUCUUUUAAGACUGCCAAUGGUGCGAAAACAGAUAGUUUCCCUAGUUUUUAAAAUGUUCGAUGGGACCUUGUAAUUCGUUCCCGCGGUGAGUUUUAUGGGAAAUAUAUCUGCACCGCUCUUACUCACUGUUUUCCUUUCGUUAUUGAUCCUCACCCCUAUUGCUGUUGCUUCGCUUGAAAUGGUUGGGCAGAGGUUCGGGCAGAGCAAAUGGAGUCUCUUUAUAGAUCAGCGGUCGGCAGCGGCCUAUUAAGUGAGCAUAGGGAAGUGUUCUGCCCAUCCUCUGCUCGCUCGAGUAUAACGUAGAUGGGUCUUUGGGUCAUUUUUUUCUCAGCUUCGGCGCACUUUUUUGUUGAUGCGGCAGAGGAUCUCAUUGCAAAGCAGAGAAACGUCAGCACGCCGCGCGUAAACUUAAUGUUCGUUACACAGUGACAUAAAGGGCAUGGGUGCAGUGGCACGCGCCAACAGCGAAGAGAAAACAAAAGAAAUCAAGUAAAGGGUGAGAGGAACACUUGGCUUAUUCUGUUUGAGUUAUUGAAAAGGAAGCAAAUAAUCAAAUAAAACCCUUUUUUUAAACAUAUGGCCAUAAAUUUUUUCAGGAGCGUUGGCCAAGUAUUUGGAGGACCCGGACAAAGGUUUAAGGAAGGCGAUGCCCAAUGUAAAGAGCAAAUUAACGUAUCAUAAAACUAGGCUUACCAACAAUAAUUGUCCUUUAACAGAAAACCUAAAUAACACUAUUGAUUUUAAAUGAAUUUAAAAGUAAAUAAAGAUGUAUGUAUUUUAAAUUCUA